AGAGUUUGAUCCUGGCUCAGAGUGAACGCUGGCGGCGUGCCUAAUACAUGCAAGUCGAACGAUGAAGCUUCUAGCUUGCUAGAAGCGGAUUAGUGGCGCACGGGUGAGUAACGCAUAGGUCAUGUGCCUCUUAGUUUGGGAUAGCCAUUGGAAACGAUGAUUAAUACCAGAUACUCCCUACGGGGGAAAGAUUUAUCGCUAAGAGAUCAGCCUAUGUCCUAUCAGCUUGUUGGUAAGGUAAUGGCUUACCAAGGCUAUGACGGGUAUCCGGCCUGAGAGGGUGAACGGACACACUGGAACUGAGACACGGUCCAGACUCCUACGGGAGGCAGCAGUAGGGAAUAUUGCUCAAUGGGGGAAACCCUGAAGCAGCAACGCCGCGUGGAGGAUGAAGGUUUUAGGAUUGUAAACUCCUUUUGUUAGAGAAGAUAAUGACGGUAUCUAACGAAUAAGCACCGGCUAACUCCGUGCCAGCAGCCGCGGUAAUACGGAGGGUGCAAGCGUUACUCGGAAUCACUGGGCGUAAAGAGCGCGUAGGCGGGAUAGUCAGUCAGGUGUGAAAUCCUAUGGCUUAACCAUAGAACUGCAUUUGAAACUACUAUUCUAGAGUGUGGGAGAGGUAGGUGGAAUUCUUGGUGUAGGGGUAAAAUCCGUAGAGAUCAAGAGGAAUACUCAUUGCGAAGGCGACCUGCUGGAACAUUACUGACGCUGAUUGUGCGAAAGCGUGGGGAGCAAACAGGAUUAGAUACCCUGGUAGUCCACGCCCUAAACGAUGGAUGCUAGUUGUUGGAUGGCUUAGUCUCUCCAGUAAUGCAGCUAACGCAUUAAGCAUCCCGCCUGGGGAGUACGGUCGCAAGAUUAAAACUCAAAGGAAUAGACGGGGACCCGCACAAGCGGUGGAGCAUGUGGUUUAAUUCGAAGAUACACGAAGAACCUUACCUAGGCUUGACAUUGAGAGAAUCCGCUAGAAAUAGUGGAGUGUCUAGCUUGCUAGACCUUGAAAACAGGUGCUGCACGGCUGUCGUCAGCUCGUGUCGUGAGAUGUUGGGUUAAGUCCCGCAACGAGCGCAACCCCCUUUCUUAGUUGCUAACAGGUCAUGCUGAGAACUCUAAGGAUACUGCCUCCGUAAGGAGGAGGAAGGUGGGGACGACGUCAAGUCAUCAUGGCCCUUACGCCUAGGGCUACACACGUGCUACAAUGGGGUGUACAAAGAGAAGCAAUACUGCGAAGUGGAGCCAAUCUUCAAAACGCCUCUCAGUUCGGAUUGUAGGCUGCAACUCGCCUGCAUGAAGCUGGAAUCGCUAGUAAUCGCAAAUCAGCCAUGUUGCGGUGAAUACGUUCCCGGGUCUUGUACUCACCGCCCGUCACACCAUGGGAGUUGUGUUUGCCUUAAGUCAGGAUGCUAAAUUGGCUACUGCCCACGGCACACACAGCGACUGGGGUGAAGUCGUAACAAGGUAACCGUAGGUGAACCUGCGGUUGGAUCACCU
rnacentral:rRNA from 1 species